CUCAUCUGUGCACUUCACCGUACAAACUCAAUCGGCUACUUCUCACUGCACAUCAUCAAUUGGUGCGGCGCGACUAGGAACGUGAACUUUAAAUUCUCGCAGUUAAUUUCAAGUUCAAGUUACAGGUAACUAAGGUUGGAGACGCGUGGAGGAUCGAAUGGGCGCGUCAAGUAUAUAUAUAUUUUGAAAAAUAUGAUGGCGUAGUUACAUCUAGCCUUUUGCUUGUAUAGUUUCAAAGUCUAAAACUACUUUUGAGAUUUUAAUAUAACUUAUCAGGUUUAAUGUUAUCAUAUUAGCUUUUCCUCCAUGGCUGGCCUUCUUUUAAAGUUAUUUCAAAUAUUUUAUUUAGGAAUUUAUUUCUUUGAAUUUCUUUAUAAUUUAAAUCCUUAUGUUUUUCGCUGUCAAAAGUCAUUUAAAUUCAUUUUAACACUUUAAUUAGAUUAGGGUGUU